AAUAUGGUGCAAUGGCGAAAACGAAGAGCGAAAGAGAAACGUGCAAAAUACAUGGCAACAGAAACGAUGAGUGACCGUCCUAUGUGUGUGUGUGAGUGAGUGAGACGUCAUAGCAAGCGCGUGCUACUCUGCUGGGCGCCGCUCCGCAAGGUAUGCGUGCAGAAAAUUGUUAUACGCGUAUUUGUAAUGGUGCGCGCGGCCCGUAACGAGCAAGAAGGUGAAAAAAGAAGAACAAGAGCAAUAAAACGCGUACACAGACAACGACAACGGCAACGACGACAGAAGAGCGGCAGCGACAACGACGAACGUCUCAGUCUCGACGCUUUUGCUAUUUGCAGAGAGAGAGCGCGCGCGAGCGUGAGAGCAAGAGUGAGAGUCAUCCAGCACUCAUACACACACGGACACAUACAGAGAGAACGAAGCAGAGUCGAGACACGACAACACUACUGCACCACUACACAACACUACACUAUUUGCAAAAAAAAAAAAGACGACGAAAAGAAAAGUACAAUAAAAAUUAAUCCGAUUGACAGGCAGCCACCGCUUCGUCGUCUCGUCGUCGUCUGUCGCUCGCUCUCGUUCGGCCUUCGUUGGUUGGUUUGUUGGUUGCGGCUGCUGUUGCUGUUGAUAAAUUUCUGCGACUUCCGCGCGCGCCCAGCCAAAAACAACACCGAAACUAAACUACACAACUACAACAACUAUUUGUAGUUGCUGCUGCUGCUGCGACGACGACGAAUCUGCUACGCGACUGCGAGCGCUCUUCUUCUUCUACUACACUUCCAACAUUGCCCAGCAGCAGAGCAGCCCAACCGGCGUCUUUGUCAUUUCGCGAAGCGCGCGUUGACGUUAACGUCGACGUCGACACAAGCAGCGCCGCUGACGACGCCAUUGCCCAAAUUAUUAUAGCAAUAUAAUAUUUUCAGUUACGUUUUAAACGUUUAACGCCAAAAAGGACGUUCCUUGGCUAUAAUGGCAACAUCGCUGCCAGCGCUGACGUCUCUGCCAGCUUUAGCAGCACGCAGCGCAAAAGAAAGGAAGCAAAUUUUUGGCUGUUUGCGGUUUGCUGAGCACAACAACAACAGCUGUAAGCUGCUGAGAGUGAGAGCGAAA